UCGCUUUGCGCUAUUUCCGGAAGGUUUUCUCCCACCCUCGAGUCCUCUCUGGAGCACACAGCAAAACUUGAUGGAAUGUUUUGCCUAGAAAAAUGCCAAAUCCAGAUGCUUGGAGGAUCAUACCUGGACACAGAGUUCUGUUCCUAAAGCAGACAAGGAGUGAGUGUAACCUCCAGGUGUGUGCACAGGGUAAGUUUGGGAAGGUCAGUGGCUCCUGUCCCUGGGAAGGGACAGAGGAAGGGACAGCACCUGAGUAGCCUC
rnacentral:lncRNA from 1 species